UCUAAAGCAACUCCUAUCCCUACCUCCUCAUGGUACCGGGCGUGAGCAACCUUAGGGAAGAUCGGGUAACAAACCCCGGUGGAAACUUUGGUCGUAGGCUGACAGGGAAGG
rnacentral:ribozyme from 1 species